AUUUUGCAAAAUUCUGAGCUCUGGUAAAGACUUUGAUAUUAAGGGUCCCUCUGGGAUGUACCCAUUCUGGUGAGUUCCCUUCAGCAAAGCAGCAGGUUUGUGUUCACAGCUUAGCUUCUCUUCUGCUAUUGUCUUUCGGUCUGCCAUGCGGGUGGUUUUGGGGUGUUAUUUUAUUAUUUAUUUAUUUUUCCCUCAGCUUUCUGCUGACUGAAGAGGAAGGAGGAAAACAAGAGCCUUGCAACAACCUCCUAUCACUGUUGUGCAAUCCAGAUUCAAGCCUUUGGUGGCUCUGGGAAAGUGACAGGAGCUCUGCUUGACACCAUUAACCUUGACGGUCAGGGUAUUUCUCCCCUGGCAACACAGAUGAGCUGGUCAUGAAACACCUACAGAUGACGUCUAGCCUUGAAAAUGCCUGUAAACUCCAUGCCUUGACAAUUUUCAGCACCAUUUUCCAGAACAUUCAAUGGCAGAUGCUCUUGCACCUGGUUCUGCACACCCGUAGCACCUCUUUGGCCAACUCCUCCCAAGGACUUCUCUUGUAAGAGACCAUGCAGGUGGAUGAUAGAGUGUUCUCUUGGAAGGAGAUGAGAGCAAAACCUUUGGUCCUUGUUGUACCACUGGUGCAGGAGAGGGAGCUCCACCAGUGCCAAGGAACAAACAUCUAUCACUUUUCAUGUCAUAGAAAUAUCUGUAGCAAAAGAAGUGGUCCAUGAAGGGCAAAAAAAAAAAAAAAAAAAAAGCGAAUGGCUUUUUUUUUUAAUACCCUUCUUUAAGGUUUUAAUAAGUUCUUUGUCUUCUGAGUUUUCCAUUUGUUUCUGUAUCUAUUUAUUUUCAUGAUUUAUUUGUUUCUGCUUAUCUAUAUUGCAUGAGUCAUCAUCCUGUUCAAGUCCCUUAUUAAGGAAAGUAAAUAAUCUUCUUAAAGUAACUUAUAUGUGUCUCUGCUCCCUCCACUUAUAGUUGUUUUCUCCCUCAUUAUUGGAAAUUAG
rnacentral:lncRNA from 1 species